CAUAACACUUGGAAAGAACAUCGAGUCCCAUCAUAUUACACAUGAUAGCAUAACAUCUUUUAAUGGGAUGCUUGCUGAUAAAGUAAUUGACAGUUAUCUGGAUAUUAUGAUUAGCAACAGGGGUAAGAAGGCAGUGGAGCACCUGUUGGAAUAUGGAUUGGACAAAACACCAAAGAUCUCCCACAAGACUUUUUAGUGCUUAAGCUAUAUUUAUUCUGAUUUUAAGAAAUAUUGUUGUUGCAGACAAAAGGCAUUUCAAAAUAAUACCUAUUGGGCAUAAGAGCAGGUUAAUUUUGUCAUAAUGCAACACUUGUGACAGUUUUUUUAAUUGUACAAGUGCAAAAGGGAAUCUUAACUGGCCCAGUGAUUAUAACUGCAAUGUCUUUAUUUAAUGCAGAAAUGAUAAUGGAUCCAGUAUAAUUCUGUAAGAGGCUACUACUACCAAAUCCUGGAAAUUGUGUUAUUAUUAUAUACUGCCAUACACUUAUAUCAAAUAUUAUAUAUGAAGAACAUUGGUUCAAAAUUUUGCAUUAACUGUGGAGGUUCCAUUACAUCUUUUUAUAUGUUUGUAUUAUUACCCUUUGUAUAGAGUGCAAAUGGGAUGCUGUUGAUAUAUUUUUGAAAGUGGUGUCUGGAUGAUGGACUUGUUAAAAAGUCAUGUGCACUAGCAUCUGAAUUAAGGGUAUAAUACUGUACUGUAUUUAUGUCUCCAUUUUUAUAUAAUUGUGGGAAAAAUUAUUUAAGAUCUGAACAAAACUGUGCAAGUGAAGUAAAAGAGCCACUUAAGUUAUGCCAGAGCCCUCUUAGUUAAUUUUAUGAGAAUCAGGAAUACAGUUAAAUUCUUAAUUAAAAUAAAAUUAAUUUUGGGUGGUUUGCAAAAUUUUUUCCAGUUCCAAAUCGAAGGUCUCUUUAUUACCUGCAGUACACGCACCUAAGAGCCUGUUUGACCCUGAAAUAAAGGUCGAAAGUAAAAUCUAAGGGCAUAUUUGGAAUCUCCACAUGACUUUUGGUCAGACUUCUAUAGUAAUUUUUCCCAUAAUUCCUUCGGUUUGAGAGAUAUUUAGCACUGAAUUUUCAAAAAUUAUGACAAGGGCGCAUUCAAACGAGUGUCACUAAAACCAUGAGUAUUGCCAGCAUACAUGCUGGUGGUACUAAUAAUUUAGAGUGUUUCCCCCAUCUCUUAAGAGA